AUAACUGGGUAAUCGAGCGGAAACGUUAGGAAAGUCCAUGCUAGCACAAGCUGCGAUGCUUGUAGUGUUUGUGAUAGAGAAAACCAUAACUCUAUGCACACCUUGUGUGACGGCUGGGAGGCCACCUGUUAGAUGGUGGUAGUACCUUUAAAAGUGCCACAGAGACGAGCUGGAUGGGAAACCAUUCAGGUGGAACGGGUAAACCCCUCAAGCUAGAAACCCAAAUUUGGUAGGGGCACUCCAGCGUGGGAAUUGAACCAACAAUGGAGCUGCGCAAGCAGAGAUAAAUGAUUACCACCCUUUUCGGGGACAGAACAUGGCUUAUAGGU
rnacentral:RNase_P_RNA from 1 species